rnacentral:rRNA from 1 species
GACGAACGCUGGCGGCGUGCUUAACACAUGCAAGUCGAACGGAAAGGCCCAGUUUUGCUGGGGUCCUCGAGUGGCGAACGGGUGAGUAACACGUGGGUAACCUGCCCUGCACUUCGGGAUAAGUCUGGGAAACUGGGUCUAAUACCGGAUAGGACCACUUCGUGGUUGUUGGGGUGGGAAAGUUUUGGGGGGUGGGGUGGGCUCGCGGGCUUUAAGCUUGUUGGGGGGGGGAUGGCCUACCAAGGGGUUGGAGGGUGGCCGGGCUGGGAGGGGGUGCGGGAGCAUGGGGACUGAGAAGCGGCCCAGACGCCUACGGGAGGCAGCAGGGGGGAAUAUUGCACAAUGGGCGGAAGCCUGAUGCAGCGACGCGGGGGGGGGGAAGACGGCCUUCGGGUGGUAAACUCCUUUCGGCAAAGACGAAUUUAGGACGGUAUUUGGAGAAGAAGCACCGGCUAACUACGUG